UUUUUUUUUACGAUGGACUGUCCCACCAGUCGAAUCGAUGCCAAAAAACGGAAAACAACGCAAUGUUGAUGGUGUUACCCGUAUUAGAUAAUACUCUCGGGUAUAAAGAUAACAAAGAGAUCAUUAGGUAAAAGAUUACAGAAGAGUAGCCAAAUCUUUUUAGUUACAAUCGGAGGAAGUAGACAACAUUUUAUGGAUAUCAGGGUACCGUGCGAGGACGUUUCUGAGGAGCUGACAAGAGAGUUGCUCAUUGCAAUCUCUUACUCUGUACCAGAGAAGGCUUUUGAUCUGGAUCUGCCACCUGAGAAAUUGAGCAACGUGGAUGGUGUUUCGGUGUUGAAUGGUGACAUAACUGAUCAUUACCGGUCUGAACUGAUUUCCAUUUCUAAUGCGCAAUCUGUUGAUGUGAAAAUCUGAGUAUCAACCGGAACCAUGAGAUCCAGCAAUACUGUAGUUGGCAUUGACUAAUAUUUAAGCCUUGUAAUUGACUGCUGCUUUGUUGUCUCUUUUUAACUUCUGCUAUGUGGAUUAUUACUGGGCGUAUGAACGACUUUGUCGAUGUUCUCUUUAAUGUCAAUGCAAGUAUGGAUGAACUGUCCAAUUUUAUUUUAGAA